GCAGAAGGAUCAUUAGUGAAGAUUUGGGCAGGCCAUACGGACGCCAAAAAGUGUCCCUGGCCGCCUACACCCACUAUACAUCCACAAACCCGUGUGCACUGUCUUGGAGAAAGGCUUCAGAGAAGUUUUUUGUGGCCUCUCUUGGGGUCUUUCUUCGCUACAAACUCGAAUGGUUAGUAUGAACGUGGAACUUGGUUGGACCGUCACUGGCCAACAAACUAUACACAACUUUCGACAACGGAUCUCUUGGUUCUCCCAC
rnacentral:misc_RNA from 1 species